rnacentral:rRNA from 1 species
AUAUCAAUAAGCGGAGGAAAAGAAACCAACAGGGAUUGCCCUAGUAACGGCGAGUGAAGCGGCAACAGCUCAAAUUUGAAAUCUGCCACAAGGCCGAGUUGUAAUUUGUAGAGGAUGCUUCUAGGCAGCGGCCGGUCUAAGUCCCUUGGAACAGGGCGUCAUAGAGGGUGAGAAUCCCGUAUGUGACCGGCUGGCACCUUAUACGUAGCUCCUUCGACGAGUCGAGUUGUUUGGGAAUGCAGCUCUAAAUGGGAGGUAAAUUUCUUCUAAAGCUAAAUACCGGCCAGAGACCGAUAGCGCACAAGUAGAGUGAUCGAAAGAUGAAAAGCACUUUGGAAAGAGAGUUAAAAAGCACGUGAAAUUGUUGAAAGGGAAGCGCUUGCGACCAGACUUGUUGGCGGUGUUCCGCCGGUCUUCUGACCGGUCUACUCGCCGCCCGCAGGCCAGCGUCGUCUGGGGCCGCCGGAGAAAGGCGUUGGGAAUGUGGCUCCUCCGGGAGUGUUAUAGCCCAUCGCACAAUACGGCGCGCGCCGGGCGAGGUCCGCGCUUCGGCAAGGACGCUGGCGUAAUGGUCGUAAGCGG